rnacentral:tRNA from 1 species
GCCACUGUAGCGCAAUGGUUAGCAUGUCUGCCUACGACGCUGAAGGCCAAAGUUCAAAUCCUGGCAGGGACA